UACAGAGGGUGCAAGCGUUGUUCGGAAUUAUUGGGCGUAAAGCGCGUGUAGGCGGCUUUGCAAGUCGGGUGUGAAAGCCCUCAGCUUAACUGAGGAAGUGCGCCCGAAACUGCAUUGCUUGAGUACCGGAGAGGAUGGCGGAAUUCCCCAAGUAGAGGUGAAAUUCGUAGAUAUGGAGAGGAACACCGGUGGCGAAGGCGGCCAUCUGGACGGAUACUGACGCUGAGACGCGAAAGCGUGGGUAGCAAACAGG
rnacentral:rRNA from 1 species